UACGAAGGGGGCUAGCGUUGUUCGGAAUCACUGGGCGUAAAGGGCGCGUAGGCGGCCGAUCAAGUCGGGGGUGAAAGCCUGUGGCUUAACCACAGAAUGGCCUUCGAUACUGGCGACCUUGAGUCCGGGAGAGGUGAGUGGAACUCCGAGUGUAGAGGUGAAAUUCGUAGAUAUUCGGAAGAACACCAGUGGCGAAGGCGGCUCACUGGCCCGGUACUGACGCUGAGGUGCGAAAGCGUGGGGAGCAAACAGG
rnacentral:rRNA from 1 species